rnacentral:lncRNA from 1 species
ACUCCGGUAUCGGAAUUCCUACCGUCCGGUGGAAUCUCGGAUGUCGGAAGUCUCUAGUAGGGUAGAAACAUGUUUCCAUAAAAUGUUUUAAGGUAUUUCAUGGUUUUAAGUAUGAAAAUUUAAUGAGUUUUGCAUGAAAAGUCCUUGGAGGAAAACUCAGGUUCGGCCGCUGACAGUCAAGUUCGGCCGCCGAACAUGCAUGCGUUUUGGAGGCACGUUAGGCCCCCGAAAGCAUGAGUGAGG